rnacentral:lncRNA from 1 species
UUUUUGCUCUUAAAUGAUAAAGUGGAGCAGUGUAUUACUUGCUAUUUGUUAUGAAAUGCGGGGACUGCAGGCUAACCUCAAUGCACGCUCCCUCCCGUGAGUCUGUUUGCUCCGCACGUGCCCACUCUUGGCUCUAACAGCCCUUCUGUUUCUCUAUGAUUUGGCACUGGCAAAACAGAAGGAUGUGCCGCGUGCUCACAAAAUGCGAAACAUGCUAAUGAGACGUGGGAAUCGGGGAUUUUCCCCUCUCUGGCUCCAUCAUUUUCAUUAUGUCUUAUUUCUUCUCUAACUCCUCAUCAAAGGUCUUAAAUUGAACAGACUAUAAGAAAAGUUUUCAGUGAGACUGUAAUUGAGUACAUAAAGUGUCCAUAAAUUAAACCAACAGAAUGAAAUUUUCUGAAGUCCCUUGAAAGCUCCCACGGCAUGCCAAGCUUUCCUUCUGUCCUGGUUCAACUCUUGGAAGUCAAACCAGAGUUAAUUUUUUAAUUCCUGAAGCAAUGGCGCUACAAUGU